UACGAAGGGGGCUAGCGUUGUUCGGAAUCACUGGGCGUAAAGCGCACGUAGGCGGAUCUUUAAGUCAGAGGUGAAAUCCCCAAGGCUCAACCUUGGAACUGCCUUUGAUACUGGGGAUCUUGAGUCCGGGAGAGGUGAGUGGAACUGCGAGUGUAGAGGUGAAAUUCGUAGAUAUUCGCAAGAACACCAGUGGCGAAGGCGGCUCACUGGCCCGGUACUGACGCUGAGGUGCGAAAGCGUGGGAGCAAACAGG
rnacentral:rRNA from 1 species